AUUGAACGCUGGCGGCAGGCUUAACACAUGCAAGUCGAGCGGGGUGAUGGUGCUUGCACUAUCACUUAGCGGCGGACGGGUGAGUAAUGCUUAGGAAUCUGCCUAUUAGUGGGGGACAACAUCUCGAAAGGGAUGCUAAUACCGCAUACGUCCUACGGGAGAAAGCAGGGGAUCACUGGUGACCUUGCGCUAAUAGAUGAGCCUAAGUCGGAUUAGCUAGUUGGUGGGGUAAAGGCCUACCAAGGCGACGAUCUGUAGCGGGUCUGAGAGGAUGAUCCGCCACACUGGGACUGAGACACGGCCCAGACUCCUACGGGAGGCAGCAGUGGGGAAUAUUGGACAAUGGGGGGAACCCUGAUCCAGCCAUGCCGCGUGUGUGAAGAAGGCCUUAUGGUUGUAAAGCACUUUAAGCGAGGAGGAGGCUCUUUUGGUUAAUACCCAAGAUGAGUGGACGUUACUCGCAGAAUAAGCACCGGCUAACUCUGUGCCAGCCGCCGCCGUAA
rnacentral:rRNA from 1 species